rnacentral:lncRNA from 1 species
CUAACAUGAGCAAAGUCAAAGGCCCGAUUCUUUUAGACCGGAUGGGGGGAGAGGCCCUACAACGCCCUUACGCGCCCCCACAGCCAUGUUAGGGACAGGAGGAGAACCUCACCCUAACGUGAGCAAAGUCAAAGGCCCGGUUCUUUUAGACCGGAUGGGGGGAGAGGCCCUACAACACCCUUAUGCACCCCCACGGCCACGUCAGGGACAGGAGGAGGACAUCGCCCUAACGUGAGCAAAGUCGAAGGCCCGAUUCCUCUUAGAUCAGAUGGAGGGAGAGGCCAAACAGCGCCCACAUGUGCCCCCACAGCCUUGUUAGGGACAUGAGGAGAACCUCGCCCUAACAUGAGCAAAGUCGAAGGCUCGGUUCUUUUAGACCGGAUGGGGGGAGAGGCCCUUGCGACGACCCUUAUGUGCCCCCACAGCCCCGUUGGGAA